GCAGGAAGGUGGUUGAGUCCUGGUCUCUGGAGGUGUCCAAGAACUGUGGGUAUGUGGCUCUGAGGGAUGUGGUCAGUCAGCAUGGUGGGUCAGAGUCGAUCUUAGUAGUCUUUUCCAACCUUUAUGUUUCUAUGAUUCUAUUUCAGAAUGGAAACGUACCCCAAAAUGCACUUUUAUAGGUUGGAGGAGGGAUAUUUCUGAGCUGGUUUCUCUGCAAAAGUGAAGGUUCUUCUCUCAUUCUUGGGCAAGAACGUAGCUGUGCUGGCAGGAAGACCUUGCUCAGCUGGCUGGCAGCGGGGAGCCUUAUUUCCUUCUGCACUGGGACCAGAGCCAUCCUCCUGGGGACCUUCUGGCCACCCUGCCACACCUGAUGACCACUCCACAGGACUCAGUGGCCACCAGCUCCUAUGGCAGCUGGCCAUGGGGAGCAGCGCUCCAUCGCCUUUUUGCUGCCUCGGCUCAACCUAAAGAGUUAACGUACGUGUUUGCAAGGGGCCCCGCAGCCUCCAGCCCCCAGAGGCAGUGCUGGAGGUCACUGCUAGCGUUUGUGGAGUUGGCCUUGCUGCAGGAAAAACUGGUUUUCAGCAUUCCCAUUAGGAAGAAACUUGAGUGGUUGUAUAAUUAAAAUGCAGAAGAAAGAAUCCUGGAGCAGCUGCUUGUGGUGGUUGGGGCGCGCAGCCGCCUCCCGCAUUUGCCCUCUGCUUGCUCCGUGCUGGAGUUCACAAUGGGAAAAUGCCACAUCCCUCUGCUUGCCUUAUUGCUGCUCUCCCAUCCUUGCUCCCUGCAAAAUCAAGCCCUGCAAAUAGACUUUUAAAGCAGCACGGCAUGGGAUGCAGAGGGACAUCUGUCCUACGCUGGGAUGCACGGUGAUGGUGCUGCAGAUACCCCUGGCUGUGCUGGGGCACAUUUUGGGAUGAGGGGAAGGCGGUCCCCCAGUGCCAUGCCCAGCCUGCAGGAUGUCAGCCCCACACAGGGAAAAUUGCCAGUUGUCAGCUGGACAAUGGUGGCAUUGUAGGGACAGAGCGGGGCAAAAGGGCCUCUGCUCCAGUGUAAUGUUACUUUUCUAUUUAUGUUGCCAUAGUCAGUGCUGAGAAAUGGCCCUAUUCUCUCUAAUCCCCCACCUCCAGGCAUGCCUGCUGGUUUGUGGUGUGGGGCUUUUUUGUGUUUUUAACCCUUUCCAUGCAUAAAGGCUCGCAGUGACGUACUUGCAGGAAUGCCAGGCUGGAGCAACCACCAGUAAAUUAGACCCACUGGAUGCCAUUCAUCCUAAUGCCUGUAAAUGUUGGUUGACAUCCUCAACAAUUUCAAUUAAGACCCUCUUGUAAGGCAGCAACCUUGACUGGCAUCAGAUUGCCACGAGACAGAUGGAUUUCAAGGCACUGAGCCCUGUGAUGUGUGUGGCAGGGCAGGUUCAAGGGCAGGGUGAUGCUGCUGAAUGUCGCUCCCAGCAUCUCGCUGCAGUGCUGGAGCCGUGCCAGGGCAUGGUGUGGAGUGUGGUGACCCUGCACUGGGCUGGCAGCCCGGAUGGGACAGGGAUGUGCUGCUGAGGCGGGAUGUCACAGCUUGGUGGGAACUUGUGAAAGAUUGGGAAAAAGAUGCCAAAGCCAACAGCACAGAUGGGGUGUUGUACAAGGAGUGCAGAGAGGUGGAAGGAGCAUGGAAGGGCACAGAGCCUUGUUAGGAGUGCCCUGAGGCUCGAGGCACACAGAGCCCUGAGUGUCAGGGUGUCAGUGUGGACACCAAGAGCAACUGAAGAUGGUCUCUGGGGUUAGGAAAAGCCCUCCCCAUGCCUUCUUUUUCCUCCACCUGGCUGAAAAGGGGAUGCCUACGUUCUUUGCCCCAGGGUGAGACCUGGGUGCAGAUAUCCCAGGCAGGGUGGGCACGGUGCCCUUUGAGUGCCCUUUGGGUGCUUUGUGCUGGAGAUGCACUUGCAGGAGUUUCCUUCUCCUCGUAACGCUGGAAGGCUUUGAGCCCUGGCCAGCCCCUACCCAGGCAGAUCUUUCUUGGCAGCUUAGCAUUGCUCUUUGCUUGAACGGCAUCAAGUUGGCUCCCAAGCCUCUGCUUUCUGCAGAGCUCCUGUGCCCUGUAUUUGCAGAUGUCUGGAUACAGCACUGGCUGCCCUGUCCACAGCAGAGCUGGGAACCAACACCCUCCCAUCACCCCCAUGCUCCCAGCUCCUCCCUAGGGGCUGCAGGAAUUCCAGGAAUGCAAUUGUGAUUUGGGAAUUCCUGGGGGGGUCAGGCAGAGGAGCGCUCAAUGCUGUGUACUCCCACUCAGAGGAGAAAGUGUGCCAGUGGUGGUAAAGUGUGGCACACCAGUACCAGGAUGGAGGUGGCUUAGGGUGGGCUCUGCCUUUCCCCCCUCCAGGGAACGCUUAGUCUGCAGGGUGAUGCAUUGCCAUGGGGGCAGAAAGGGGGCACAUUCCUUCCCUCGCCUCCCGCUGCCUUAUCGCCAGGCUGUCGGGCGGCCCCACAGUGACGGGAAGCAGAGCUGGUGCCCCCCGGCCUGCCCCCUGCCUGCAGACAAAGCCGGCUCUGCGGGAUGUGCUGAGAAAAAGGGAGCUGCCAGCAUGUUGCUGCCCUCCCAUUGGGCUGGGUAAUGAGUUACGAGGUCAACGCAUGGUGCCUUUGCUGGGACCUGACCCGUCCUGUGCUGCUCCCGGAGGAAGCGGCUCUGUGGUAUUUUUAGUCUCGCCAGGGAGGAUAGAGGGGAGAUUGCUUGGUGUCAGCUCUGCUGUGCCUGCUGCCAUAGUCUGCAUAUUUCCCAUGAGGACUGACAAAAACACUUCCUCAGUGAGUAGCCCCGAUGCCUGGUGGGCAUCAGUGACCCCGUGGCCAGAGUUGCAAUGGGGACACGUGGGCCAGGCUUAGGGCACUUCGGUUCCAAUGCUCGUCGAAGGUGUGUGGGAGUCCUGGGUUGGGUGUAUCCCACUGCAGUGGUUCACCCAGGCUGUUUGUUAUCCCCUGGAUGAUUUGAUCACUCCCCCAGGCAGUCAUGACAUUUUAAUGGUUUAUCUUAUCGAGGAAUUUGCUGGGAGGAAGUUUCUGUCUCUCCAUGAGUAAAUGUUUAGGAACGCUGCUACGGUCCUGGGGUCUCAGCGGUGCUGUGUGUCUGCGGGUUGCAUCCUCCCUGAGCCACCACCUGCAUCACCAGCCUCAGCUGCUGCUGGCACAUACAAUACCCUGCAACCAUGCAGCGUGCUUUUCCCCUGCAAAAAGCACUGCCCUUUGCCAGGAUUUGGAAGGCUGGGCUCAUGUACGUUGCGUUUAUGGACUGAAUUUGUGUUUGGUGUUUGUCCAAAGAUGGUGCAGGAUCCCUGGGAUAGGGACAGUGUGCAAUGCUGGGGAUAUCUGUGUCCCUGUCCUGGGUGCAGCUGCUCAGCCACCUCUCUGCUGCUGCUCACUGCUGCCAGGCGCCUGUCCCACUGGCUGUCCCGCCGGCUGCAUGGGAGGUCAGCAGGAUGUAGCAAUAUCCUUAGGCCUCUUAUGCGUGCGUCCUGAUGAGUGCCUUUUAACUGUUAUUUGUGCUUUCGGAUAGGAAGAGAUUAAAAUCCCAAACAUCGAUAGGUUUUAAAGAUACCAUCUGCCUCUGACAGUUACUGGAUUUUUUCUGCUCAGUGCUUGAAUGCUCUGCCUGCAGCCUCUCUGCUGGCCUAGUGCUGAGGUUUUAUCACUUCCCCAGCAGCACUCAUGCAGGACAGUGCGCACAGACAGGGCAGCACCUCUGUGUACCUCUAUUUCACACCAAUGAGCUGCAUAUCCAGACCUGCUGUAUGCGGUGCUUUGUCAGUGGGCAGCUGGCCCUACUGCUUGGCAGCUGUGAUUUUUAGCAGCAGAAAACUCCCAUAGCUCACUGCAGUUUCUCUUUGCCCCAUGCCCGGGAGGCUCUGAGGUCCUGAUGCCCAUGCUGCUGGGAGCUUGCUGGGCUGUGGGCAUGGGAUGAGAGUCUUACUUCCAGGGUCGUGUCAGGGAGCUUGGGCUGCUGGUGGGCAGCAGCGCAAUCAUAUGUUUGCUCCACUGCAUUUUGUGCCUUUUGGAGCUGGGUGCUUUCUCAUGCAUUGCAAUAGGAGCCUUCUGAUGUUACAGGGCUUUGCUUUCUGCUAGCAAAUGAUGGAGCUGUGCUUUGGAAAGACUGUGGGGCCUUGGUGUGCUCUCAUGGGGUGUCUUUUGCAUCCCUGGGCUGAGCCACGCAGGGGAUGGCGGAUGUAUAGGGAUGCCCUGGCAGCAGAACACUCUCCCUUGGUACACCAAACCCUUUCGCCAUUGAGAAAAGAGGCCUGGGGGGCUGUUGCCUGAGCACCUCCACUGAGGCAUUCCUAACACAAAUUUGGUGUGUGCAGCAGGGAGGAAGGUGACUCCUCAUCCUCCCCUAGGAGCAAUCUGAGAUGUCCUUCUGGUAGUCCAAGGGGUUGUGCUGCUGUAGGACAAUCUGCGGGGCUUCUUGUGGGGAGCUGGGGGCAGAGGGUGGAGGGUGGAAUUGGCUGGAGCUGGGGGUAUCUUGAGCAAGAGCCAAAAGCAAGAGAGAAGGCAGGGAACUGCAGGUGAUGGAGGAAUCAGUUUGCUCUCCUUGUCUGGGCUUGCUCAGCUAAGUAUGUUCAAGGGUUCCUGGCCUGGAAAAGAGAGGUCCUUGGUGGGCCAGUAACACCUAGAGGGAAGGGGCAGGGCCGUUGGGGUCUUACCCUGCCCCAGCUGAGCGCUCACGUCCUGCAGCUGGAGCUCUGCUGCGUGCUACGUCCCAGUGCAGUGCCCAUGGGCACAGUAGCAUCCCUCGGGGCCUCUCUGUGACCUCUACUUUGUGCAGUGCUCGGGCCUGGAGCUCCCUCUGCUGUCUGUCCAUCCAUCUGUUCAUGCUGCUCACUGAGCUCUGGGUGGGGAGCCCUCAAGAAUGAGCAGUGUGACCCCACAGGGACUGGCUAGUAGUCCCCAGCAGUCAGCUAGGUUUGUGGGAUGGGCCUUCCUGAACGGAGCUUGUCCCCUUGGUAACACCAUCCAUCCCCCAAACUCUCCGUGCUAAGAGCUCAAAGCACCACACUGGGAGGCAUUAUGAGCCAGCCCCACGUGUGCAGUGCUGGCACAGCACAAGCAAAUAUUUCCCUGGCUAGGUCCACUGUCGCCUGUCACAACACCGUGCUCUUCCCACUGCUCUGGGGAGCAAGCAGCCAGCUUGCUGGAAACCCUUUGGCUUGGCGCCCUGCUCAAAUGUGGUUAUUUGUUAACCACGAGUGUGGAAUAUAGGUCUCAAACCAGGGCUCUCUGGCUUUUCUUUUCCUUACACCCCAUGCAUGGUGCACUCGUGAUCUCUGCUUGCACUGCAUCUGCGCAUUCAGCCUGCCCUGCUCCUUGGAAUGCUCCUGGUGGAGGCAAGGCAGCUUGCUGGGGCUUGUGGUGCUCCCACCCAGCAUUCUACAUCUCUGGGGGAAAUGGCGCCUGUGUCCCCCUGUCCAGGGUGCAUUCCUCUGCCCUGCUUGCACUCCAUCAACAGCCCCUUUGUGGCAAAAAUGAAUCUCUCCAUUGUCAGGGUGCCUAAAAGGGCCAUUUCUCUGCAUUGCUCAGCGUGGAUACCGGGGCUCUUCCUUCCCCCUCCCCCCCAUUGCCCUGGGCCCCUGCAAGGACUGCUGAGCCUGGGUUUCCACCCAUCCUUCCCAUGGGCGGCAUGACUGGCAGCCCCCAGCCCUGACUCACCAGCGUGAGAAAGGGAUUUGGGCUCUGUCCAGGAACAGCUUUGCUGUCCGUCCGUCCAUCUGGACAGCCAGGAAUGAGGCUGUCAUGAUUGUCCCCUACUCUCGGACCUGUUGGGGCUUUGUGUCCAGGAUCUGUGGUCAGGGCUUCCCUGUGUCCUGAGUUUGGUCAGUUCUGGUGCGAAAAACAAGUCCCCUUUGUAUCACUUCUGAAGUUAUGCAUUUGCUGAGGGAGGUGUGUGCAAUUAGUGGUAGGACAAGGGAAAUGGCUUUCAACAAAAAUAGGGGAGGGUUAUAUGUUAGGAAGAAAUUUUUCACUCAGAGGGCAGUGAGGUACUGGCACUGCUGCCCAGAGCUGUGGGUGCCCCAUUCCUGGAGGUGCUCAAGGCCAGGCUGGAUGGGGCCCUGGGCAGCCUGAGCUUAUGGGGGCAGCCAGUCCAUGGCACAGAGGUUGGAAAUGGAUGGGCUUUGUGAUUCCUUCCAACCUAAGCCAUGCUGUGAUUCUAUGGUUCUGUGAUCACCCAAGACUUGUCCUCCGAACACUCGUGGGGUGGAGCGGCCCUGAGAAGCAGCACGGAGCCCUGUUGGGACAUGACUGGGCAGGCUGACAGUAGCUGCAAGGAGCUGCUGAGCUGGGGAUGCACAUGGAAACCCAACCAUAAAGGCAAAAAAUGCAUGACAUUGGGUGUAGGCUGUGCUGUGUCAGGGGAAAGCUGUUCCACAAAGCACUCGUGAAACAACAUCAGAUUUGGGCAGGCAUAUUAGCGUGGCAUUAUUCCCGUGCCAGCCACCAUUUUAGUGGGAAAAUUCACACAAAUCACACCAAAAAGCAGCGUGGGAAGCACUGCAUGGGGCUAAUAGACAUCUGAGCAUUAGUUUCACACUUUUCCUGACUACCAGAGCCUUGCCAUAAGGCUGUUUUAAAACAAUCGCAAGCCUCAUUGACCCUGUUUUACUUCUUUACAAAUUGGAACAGCAGGAGAACCAGGAGGACUCUGUAGGGCUGUGGAGAUGGUGAAGGGUCUGAGGGUGAGACGUGUGAGGAGUGGCUGACAUCCCUUGGUUUGUUUGUUUAGCCUGGAGG